rnacentral:rRNA from 1 species
AUUGAACGCUGGCGGCAGGCCUAACACAUGCAAGUCGAGCGGAUGAAGGGAGCUUGCUCCUGGAUUCAGCGGCGGACGGGUGAGUAAUGCCUAGGAAUCUGCCUGGUAGUGGGGGAUAACGUCCGGAAACGGGCGCUAAUACCGCAUACGUCCUGAGGGAGAAAGUGGGGGAUCUUCGGACUUCACGCUAUCAGAUGAGCCUAGGUCGGAUUAGCUAGUUGGUGGGGUAAAGGCCUACCAAGGCGACGAUCCGUAACUGGUCUGAGAGGAUGAUCAGUCACCCUGGAACUGAGACACGGUCCAGACUCCUACGGGAGGCCGCAGUGGGGAAUAUUGGACAAUGGGCGAAAGCCUGAUCCAGCCAUGCCGCGUGUGUGAAGAAGGUCUUCGGAUUGUAAAGCACUUUAAGUUGGGAGGAAGGGCAGUAAGUUAAUACCUUGCUGUUUUGACGUUACCAACAGAAUAAGCACCGGCUAACUUCGUG